UUAAUAACUCAUUGUUUUUAACUUUUGAUUAUUUGAAGAAUAAUGAAAUAAUAAUUAUUUUAAGUAUCAAUUUGUAAGAAAUAAUUGUUUUUGUAUAAAAAUCUUUUUUUUUGUUAAAAGAUAUUUAUGUCUUUGUUAAGAUUUGUGGAUUUAAAAGAAAAACAUAUGGACUUUAAAAGACUUUAAAAGACUUUAAACAUCAUAAAUUCCUUUUUCCUUUUGUUUAUAUUAAUAUUGUGGUUAAGAUUAAUUAUUGAGUUAUUGCACUUAAGUGCAGGAAAGUGUAACUUUUUAAGUUUCUCAUCUCUAUGUAUUGUCAUAUCUAUGGUCAUCUUCAUAUUGGAAAGGAAAAGGUAGCACUUUCCUUUCUGUUUUUGUCAGCCAUAAUGUAGACAUCAAAAUUUUUGUGCUCGUCACGUAUCUAUCGACAUCCAUGUCGAAAGUUGUGUAUUUACUACCGCAUUAGCGGUCCGGGAGUUGGCGACCUCUCGCUGCCCCAUGCCUGAGGUGUGAUCCAUAAGCUUCGCCCAUAACAUCUGGGCAUCCCAGGGCUUGUCCCGUGGUUCUACGGCGAUGGGAGCCGCCAACAAAUAUCCCAGGAAAGUUUUCGACGACUAAAUCCUAAGCAUGCAGCAUGGGUAGUUAACCUGUUUCGGCCACGCGUAUCUUGCAAUUUCAUCGACUAUUUCAUCAAACUACCCCUUUGGCAUCGUAAUCUACAUUUAAUUCCUGAGUAAUAUUUUAAUUCUUUCUGUAUCUUAAAUUUACGUUAAUUAUUUUGAAAAUGUAACUAAGUAAUAAUCAUUUUGAAAAAUGUAACUAAUUAAUCAUAUUGUGAAGAUGUAACUAAGUAAAAAAAAAAUGUUGGGGCCCCGUUUUGUUUUGAAUGUACGAAUACUCAAUUAAUACUCUUUAUUGUGUUUUAAAUAAAUAUGUUUUGUUAUGGCUGACCCGAUA